rnacentral:rRNA from 1 species
GGUAGAGCACUGUUUCGGCUAGGGGGCCAUCCCGGCUUACCAACCCGAUGCAAACUGCGAAUACCGGAGAAUGUUAUCACGGGAGACACACGGCGGGUGCUAACGUCCGUCGUGAAGAGGGAAACAACCCAGACCGCCAGCUAAGGUCCCAAAGUCAUGGUUAAGUGGGAAACGAUGUGGGAAGGCCCAGACAGCCAGGAUGUUGGCUUAGAAGCAGCCAUCAUUUAAAGAAAGCGUAAUAGCUCACUGGUCGAGUCGGCCUGCGCGGAAGAUGUAACGGGGCUAAACCAUGCACCGAAGCUGCGGCAGCGACACUGUGUGUUGUUGGGUA